AGUGAACGCUGGCGGUAGGCCUAACGCAUGCAAGUCGAACGGCAGCACAGUAAGAGCUUGCUCUUACGGGUGGCGAGUGGCGGACGGGUGAGGAAUACAUCGGAAUCUACUUUUUCGUGGGGGAUAACGUAGGGAAACUUACGCUAAUACCGCAUACGACCUACGGGUGAAAGCAGGGGAUCUUCGGACCUUGCGCGAUUGAAUGAGCCGAUGUGGGAUUAGCUAGUUGGCGGGGUAAAGGCCCACCAAGGCGACGAUCCGUAGCUGGUCUGAGAGGAUGAUCAGCCACACUGGAACUGAGACACGGUCCAGACUCCUACGGGAGGCAGCAGUGGGGAAUAUUGGACAAUGGGCGCAAGCCUGAUCCAGCCAUACCGCGUGGGUGAAGAAGGCCUUCGGGUUGUAAAGCCCUUUUGUUGGGAAAGAAAAGCAGCAGGUUAAUACCCCGCUGUUCUGACGGUACCCAAAGAAUAAGCACCGGCUAACUUCGUG
rnacentral:rRNA from 1 species